rnacentral:rRNA from 1 species
CCCUUAGAUGUCCGGGGCUGCACGCGCGCUACACUGAAGGAAUCAGCGUGCUAAAACCAUUGUCGAAAGGCAUUGGUAAACCCAUUAAAAUCCUAUGUGAUUGGGAUCGGGAAUUGCAAUUAUUUCCCUUGAACGAGGAAUUCCCAGUAAGUGUGGGUCAUAAGCUCGCGUUGAUUACGUCCCUGCCCUUUGUACACACCGCCCGUCGCUGCCCGGGACUGAGCCGUUUCGAGAAAAGCGGGGACUGCUGCUGUCGGGGCUUUCGGGCCUUGGCUUCGGUGGAAACCGCUUUAAUCGCAGUGGCUUGAACCGGGCAAAAGUCGUAACA